rnacentral:rRNA from 1 species
CUGGUUGAUCCUGCCAGACCCGACUGCUAUCAGAGUGGGACUAAGCCAUGCGAGUCAACGUAGCAAUACGUGGCAUACGGCUCAGUAACACGUAGUCAACAUGCCCAGGGGACGUGGAUAACCUCGGGAAACUGAGGAUAAACCGCGAUAAGCCAUGAUUUCUGGAAUGAUUCAUGACUAAAACCUAUAUGGCCCCUGGAUUGGACUGCGGCCGAUCAGGCUGUUGGUGAGGUAAUGGCCCACCAAACCUAUUACCGGUACGGGCUCUGAGAGGAGGAGCCCGGAGAUGGGCACUGAGACAAGGGCCCAGGCCCCAUGGGGCGCAGCAGGCGCGAAACCUCUGCAAUAGGCGAAAGCUUGACAGGGUUACUCUGAGUGAUUUCCGCUAAGGGAAUCUUUUGGCACCUCUAAAAAUGGUGCAGAAUAAGGGGUGGGCAAGUCUGGUGUCAGCCGCCGCGGUAAUACCAGCACCCCGAGUGGUCGGGACGAUUAUUGGGCCUAAAGCAUCCGUAGCCGGUCCUGCAAGUCUUCCGUUAAAUCCAGCUGCUUAACAGAUGGGCCGCAGGAGAUACUACAGGGCUAGGAGGCGGGAGAGGCAAGCGGUACUUUAUGGGUAGGGGUAAAAUCCGCUGAUCCAUAGAAGACCACCAGUGGCGAAGGCGGCUUGCCAGAACGCGCUCGACGGUGAGGGAUGAAAGCU